UACGUAGGGGGCUAGCGUUGUCCGGAAUCAUUGGGCGUAAAGAGCUCGUAGGCGGCUUGUCGCGUCGACUGUGAAAACCCGCAGCUCAACUGCGGGCCUGCAGUCGAUACGGGCAGGCUAGAGUUCGGUAGGGGAGACUGGAAUUCCUGGUGUAGCGGUGAAAUGCGCAGAUAUCAGGAAGAACACCCGUGGCGAAGGCGGCUCUCUGGGACGGUACUGACGCUGAGACGCGAAAGCGUGGGGAGCGAACAGG
rnacentral:rRNA from 1 species